ensembl:misc_RNA Metazoa_SRP Metazoan signal recognition particle RNA
GCCAGGCAUGGUGGCACACGCCUGUACUCCCAGCUACUCAGGCGGCUGAGGUGGGAGGAUUGCUUGAGCCCAGGAGCUCUGGGCUGUAGUGAGCUCUGCGGAUCGGGUGUCCACACUAAGUUCUGCAUCAGUAUGGUGACCACCAGCUUCCCGAAGGAGGGGUGAACCGGCCCAGGUUGGAAACAGAGCAGGUCAAAACUCCAGUGCUGAUCAGUAGUGGGAUCAUGCCUGUGAACAGCCACUGCACUCCAGCCUGGGCAACACAGGAGAUCUCGUCUCAA